ensembl:lncRNA
CGCAAGUCCUACAAAUUUCCCACCAUAAGAAGCAUCUAAAACAGGCUGACCCGGUCUGUGUGUUCACCUCUUUAGACCCCUACCCAGAACCCACCCAGAAACAGGGACACCCCCACUGAUCUCAUCCCCCUCAACACAAGUGCUUUUUCCUUGGAACAAAGCAUUUGUUCCAGGGACCAAGUACUCAGGAUUCCCGGCUCCUCCCUGAAAAGCAGGGUGACUAUAUAUUCUGUGUCAAGUAACUACAUCAAAAGCUCCUGCCAAAUCUGCCACCAGCUGAUGUUAGAUUCUAGUACAGACAGGCAGGGACAGGUCCACAAAGCUGGAGGAAGCAUUAUGAGAGAGGCGGGGAAAACCUUCAAUUAUGACAUUUUGAGCCACCAAUUUAAUUUGUCCAAAGAAUCAGAGAAAGGUCUUGCCUCUUUGGUUUUGAUGGUGGAAGACUCAGGGCAGUUAGCAAGUCUGCUGAGGGUAGGGUGGCUAGAUUCAGCAAAUAAAAAUACAUGCAACAGUUAAGACAUGCUUAUACUAAAACAUUAUUCAUGUGUAUUUACAAUUCCAGUUUAACUAGGCGUCCUGCAUUUUCUCUGGUAAUCCUCCAUAAGGAAGCAUCACUGGUGGAGAACUUUGGCCUAACAAAACACAGCUGUCCCUUCCCUCCUCCCCCUGUGACUUGUCACCAUGACUGGCUGGUCUCAGGAACAGACAUAUCCAGCUUCCCCUGGAAAAUCAUGACUUUCUCUCCUUUGUACCCCAGUCUCAGUGGCUGCCAUUUUUGCCUUCACCAGCCUGGUGAGCAGGACUCAGAAGAGGAGAGCUAUGGUGUCUUUUCUCCCUCGUGGCCACCUCAGUGACAUUCCACCUGAUGGCAACUGCCUUCAGCCAGCUGACUCAGACCUUCCUCAGCAAGAGUUGGCUGCUUCCAUCUUGCCCACGGGUCAGCUCUUCCUGCAUGGCCGCACUGGCUGACCGCUCCUGUCCAGAAGAGUCCAGAGUCUCUUGCUCAAAUCCACUCAGUCCCUAACUCCCCCCACCCAGCUUUUAUGGAGAAUUUCAGAGCUGUCACUGCUCUCCCUGAAGUCCUUGGAGAAUCUGUGGUUUGUGGGAGACACAGGGCCAGACCCAAUGGGAGAGAUGCUGGUACCGCAGUCUCCUGCGUCCCCUUGAUUCAGAUACCACUUAACUGGACCACAAAGUGAAUUCCUCAAACACCCUGUUUGAUUGGAUUCCAGCGUCUGCAUUUACAGGGGCUGAUGUGCAGCCGGCCUCACUCUCUUCCUGCUAACAGCGUGUCUGCAAAACAGACUAUGGGCUCCAGGCAGUAAUUAACCAAGCUUUAUACUGGGGGUUCUACUUUCAAACUCAUCUGAGAUCCUCAGAUGAAAGAAGCCACAGAGUUAUUAUGGUUGUUCAUAAAAAUGGGCCAGAAGAGUGAAUAUCAGCUCUUUGCCAACUCCCCCGAACCCUCCCCCCACCAACAGGUGCCCACCCACCUGAUCCUUCCCAAGCUCUGCAGGAGGAUGGAAAAGUCUGAUGUGUGCUCAGCAAUUUGAGAGCCCCUCCCCCGAGACAAGCUGCUCAGAGUGAUGCAUCCUGCAUACCCUUCUCCACUCCAGCCCUCAACAGCCCUAGGAACACCUUCCAGCAGGCGGCAGGUCCCAGCCAUCCUGAGAUGCACUGACCCAGGCCAGAAGGAAAGAAGGGACCAGUCAUUGACAUGGGGAAGCUGGGACAGUGCAUCAUCACACUCCCCACAGCCCUCCCAUGACAUCUCUUCUCCCACUUUCCUCAAGUGAGACUCCCCUUGCUAGGAAGCCCUGGACACCCUCAUCUCAUAUUCAGGGUCUUCUGUGGAGCCUCAAGGCUACCCUCCCAAACAGAGGGACAACGGGCAUCCAAGGGUCUCGGGGCUGCAGCUCUGCCCUCAGCCAUGCCCUGCUGGCCAACUGCUCCAUGAAGGGUAGAGAAUGGAUAGGGUCUCAUGCUGGGAUCAGGCCAAGUGCCCUGACCCUCCACUCUGUGUCCCAGCCAGUGGCCAAAGUGGCAUGACCAGCUUUCUGGAGUGAGCCUGCCCCCUACAGGGCCCAGGCAGGAUGCACAACCCCAUUAGGGAGUGUGAGGUAUUAGGGAGGGCAGAAGUGCACUGGUCCCUCCACCCAGGGCAGAGCCUUUGGGAGAGGGAGGCACCUCUCACUGGGGAUGUGACUGUACAGCCUAGAGUCAUGCAGCAAUUAGCCACCUUUGUGCAUCACUGCCAUGGGGAGGUGCAUCCUUUCUGAGCUCUGAGGCACAGGGAUGCCACGGGCACAUUCCACGGGACAUCUUUGACCCCUAAGUGUUGGGGCUUAGGUGAGAGUUUGGCUUCUGCCCCAGAUUCCAGACCUGAGUGCUUGACUUUAACAAAGGGUCAGCCAUGGUCUCAGAAAGCAUGUUGGAACAUGGAUCCCAGAUACCCUGCUGAGUAGGUCCCUUAACCAGUCUGAGCCUCAGUCUUCAGAUGUAUAAAAUGGGUACAAUUGGGCCAACUCGGGUUUUUGUAAAGAUGAAACAAAAUAAAUGUUAAAAAGGUGCCUUAGACAAAUGCUGGACACAUUAUUACUUUCUCCUUUAUUAGCAUCCUCUCUGUUUUGGCAUCUUUUGUAUUAACUGUGUUCACUCCCAAUCACUG